GAAAAGCCAAACGUCCAGCUCUUUCUCCAACGAGGAAGGGCCCAGCCAUGAAAGCUGUUGCUGCUCUUCUCCUUCCCUUGGCGCCCUAUAUACAGGCACAACCGCACUGGGGAUCAGGGCUUUCCCAGAGACGCUACAUCCAAUGGCGCUUUUCUAGUCAGAGCCGCUUUCCAAAAAGGCGAACGUCUGGCUCCUUCUCCCACAAGGAAGUUGCCAGCCCUGAAAGAUCUUGCUGGUCUUCACCUGCCCUUGGCAGCCUACUCACAGGCACAACAGCACGAGGGAUCUGGGCUUGCCCAGAGACAGAAGAUCUCAUGGCGCUCGUUCUCGGCAGAGUAUUUUCUGAAACGGCAAUACGACGCCUGUUCUCCCACAAGGAAGGUGCCAG